rnacentral:rRNA from 1 species
GACGAACGCUGGCGGCGUGCCUAAUACAUGCCAGUUGAGCGCUGAAGGUUGGUACUUGUACCGACUGGAUGAGCAGCGAACGGGUGAGUAACGCGUGGGGAAUCUGCCUUUGAGCGGGGGACAACGUUUGGAAACGAAUGCUAAUACCGCAUAAAAACUUUAAACACAAGUUUUAAGUUUGAAAGAUGCAAUUGCAUCACUCAAAGAUGAUCCCGCGUUGUAUUAGCUAGUUGGUGAGGUAAAGGCUCACCAAGGCGAUGAUACAUAGCCGACCUGAGAGGGUGAUCGGCCACAUUGGGACUGAGACACGGCCCAAACUCCUACGGGAGGCAGCAGUAGGGAAUCUUCGGCAAUGGACGAAAGUCUGACCGAGCAACGCCGCGUGAGUGAAGAAGGUUUUCGGAUCGUAAAACUCUGUUGGUAGAGAAGAACGUUGGUGAGAGUGGAAAGCUCAUCAAGUGACGGUAACUACCCAGAAAGGGACGGCUAACUACGUG